GGGAGACAGUCGGUCUUCCCAUCCAGCAGCAGAGCUGUGUAUCUAAAGGGGAGACAGUCGGUCUCCCCCUCCAACAACCAGACUCCAACCAGGCUACUCCCGUGGUAGUGCUGGCACAGUCGGUCUCCCACUCCAACAACCAGGCUCCAACCAGGCUACUCCCGUGGUAGUGCUGGAACCGCUGGUCUCUGCCCACCCACCCAGUCUGC